CCUCGAUGCGCCGCGACUUCUGCGCGUCCAGGUCGAUGGACCGACACGUGUUGAUCGCCUCGGAGAGCCGCAGAAUGAGCAGGAGGGCGAGGAAGGGGAGCCACAUGGUUGCCCGGGAUGAGGGAAGAAACGAGCUCCGUGAACGGAUGGAAGGAAAACUACUGAUCUCUGACUGACCUGGUCUGCAGCCUGGACCAGAGCGCUCCACUCCAGUUUGGGGAUCAUCCGGCAGACAAACUUAGGAUUAAAAUCCACCUCGUUCACCUUCACCUCAGUGGCCUGCACAAAGAUCACAUCAUUCAUAAACACCAGCACUGUCAGAUUGGACUAUCAGGGGUCUCUGAUCAACAGCAAAUCAGAUGGAAAUAAGUUAUCACAUCUAUCAGCAUGGAGAGAGUUAUGAAGCCAUUUCUAAGGCUUUAAGUUAACCACAGUUAGAGUCAGGGUUUAUUGAUUCAGCAAUACACACAAAAAUCAUCCUGAUGAGUCCCAACACUGUUCAAAAAAUAUUCUAAGGACGGUCGAGGCAACUAAGCUGACUUUUUUUGGCUUAUGUGCAUUCCCUUAUAUCUUCACCAUAACAAAUUAAAUCCUCAUUUAAAAUCUG